rnacentral:rRNA from 1 species
AUUGAACGCUGGCGGCAGGCUUAACACAUGCAAGUCGAGCGGGGGAGGUUGCUUCGGUAACUGACCUAGCGGCGGACGGGUGAGUAAUGCUUAGGGAUCUGCCUAUUAGUGGGGGACAACAUUCCGAAAGGGAUGCUAAUACCGCAUACGCCCUACGGGGGAAAGCAGGGGAUCUUCGGACCUUGCGCUAAUAGAUGAGCCUAAGUCGGAUUAGCUAGUUGGUGGGGUAAAGGCCUACCAAGGCGACGAUCUGUAGCGGGUCUGAGAGGAUGACGCGACACACUGGGACUGAGACACGGCCCAGACUCCUACGGGAGGCGGCAGUGGGGAAUAUUGGACAAUGGGCGGAAGCCUGAUCCAGCCAUGCCGCGUGUGUGAAGAAGGCCUUUUGGUUGUGAAGCACUUUAAGCGAGGAGGAGGCUCUUAAGGUUAGUACCCUUGAUGAGUGGACGUUACUCGCAGAAUAAGCACCGGCUAACUCUGUGCCAGCAGCCGCCGUAAAAC